UGGAACUGGCCUCCAAAUGUGAUGUUCUAGUUGUUGCAUGCGCACUUACUGAAGAAACCCGCCAUAUUAUCAAUCGUGAAGUCAUUGAUGCUUUGGGGCCAAAGGGUGUUCUCAUUAACAUUGGAAGGGGUCAUCAUGUUGAUGAGCCUGAGUUGGUAUCUGCACUGCUAGAAGGCCGAUUAGGUGGUGCUGGCCUUGAUGUGUAUCAAAAUGAACCAGAAGUGCCAGAGCAGUUGUUUGGGCUUGAAAAUGUGGUGCUCUUGCCUCAUGCAGGAAGUGGCACUACAGAAACUCGUUGUGCAAUGGCUGACCUUGUUAUUGCGAAUCUUGAGGCUCACUUUUUGAACAAACCAUUGCUGACACCUGUGGUUUAACAGUUUGAGCAUCCAUAUAUAUAAAGUCCAAUGGAGGCAUCGUCUUGUUCUGGCACUACUGUAUUUAAUAGCUAAGAUGAUUGUUUCAGAUUGGCUAACAUGUUGAAACAGCUGAAUAAUACUAGUCCAUUAUUGAAAUAACCUCCUGGCAUCUUAAAAGUUAAAAUACAUGCUUGGUUCUUGGAGUGAUCGGUUUGCAUUACAUCCACACUCAUCCAUCUGUUUCAAUAUAGUGCAGCAGGAGGCGCUUUUAGAUUCUAUUGGAAUUCCAGUCUUGAAACUAUUUCUGAAGUAUUGGGCAUUUUCUGGCGUCCAAGCUUUGAGUGCAAGACUGCAAGGUUUAGUGAUUGGUUGCAUUGCACCCAUUCAUCCAUCUAUUUCAAAGCUAACAAACUUAUAAUUUGAUGAGCUAAGGUACCUAUCAUUUGUAGGGAGUGGUUUCAUAUGGACGUUUCAAUGAUUUGAUGUCAUGUGGACAUUUGAAUGAUUUGAUGUAAGAGUCGUCUAACUAUGAAUAAAUUUUUUAAAAGAACAAAAAAAAAGCAGCAAUUCUCUUGGACCACCACAAAACACAACCUCCAUUUCUUGCUAGUCACACUCCAUACAUUUUGGAGGAGCCAAACCCCAAAAGCAACCCAAACCCUAUGAGAAUCCCCCCAGCAAUGGAGUCCAUAUGUGUCCUCCUACCAAUCCCAAUGUCCCCUUACUUAGAACAAGAGCUCGAGAAGCGCUUCAACCUCUUGAAGCUUUGGACCGCUCCCCACAAGACCCAGUUCAUCAAGGACCACGCCGCCUCCAUCCGCGCCAUCGUCGGCAACGCCUCCGCCGGCGCCGACGCCGAGUUGAUCGACUCUCUGCCCAAGUUGGAGAUCGUCGCCAGUUACAGCGUUGGGAUUGACAAGGUCGACUUGAAGUACUGCAAGGAAAAGGGUGUGAGGGUCACUAACACCCCCGACGUGUUGACCGAUGACGUGGCCGACAUUGCUAUUGGGUUGACGCUGGCGGUGAUGCGCCGGCUUUGCGAGAGUGACCGGUAUGUCAGGAGUGGGCUGUGGAAGAAGGGUGACUUCAAGUUGACCACAAAGGUUACAUUUUCUCUUUUCUUGAUCACUGUUUUAUUGGUUGUGAACUUUUGGAUAUUGUCACUUUGCUUCAAAUCAGUAGUCAGGGGUAGGAAUAGUGUUUGUGCAAAAUAGUUGUGGGUCAAUGUUGCUCACCGAAGAUAUCUGCAUUGCUCAUACCAAUAUGUGUGUUACUAGGCUUUUCAUUUUCGUCCAUGAACUAUAACUGUUCUGAUGUUAGGAUGAUAUCAACCCAGCAGGCAGCAAGAAAUAUGAUAGUGUUGGUUGAUAUAGGGGUCUAUGAUGUACAUUUGAUUUGUGAAGAAAUCCUGGGUUUGUUUGGACUUUGGAGUGGAUUCUGCAUUGCUUUGUGUAAUGUAUGAAAAGGAGAAUGCAAAGUAGUUUUAGUGGGAACCAAGUUCUUGAAAUUACAUGCUAUGGUUGGUGCUUGUUUCUCUGUAUCCUGUGAAAAGGGGAUUGGUAUAGGUUGAACUGGGCAUUUCUCUUAUCAUUGUACUCUUCUGGUGCUGUUUUGUGUCGUUGCUACUGUUGUGGAUUUUUGAGUGCUCAAGCGUUGGUGAAGUUACCUCUGCAUUUCUACCUUUCAUGUAAAAUAAUGUGCCUAUUUGGAUUUAGGACUUUGGAGUUUUUCUUUUAGCUUCGUUUGUGCUAUAUAGCCAUGUAAAGCAAUUAGAACCAUAAGAUGGCAAGUCUUUACGAUUACGAUUUCUAGAUGCUCUAGGUGUUCUUAAGGUAUUUGUUUGUAAAAUAUUUCUGGUAGAUAUUAGUGUGAUUUAUUGAUAGUUUCAAAUUACUUGUCUAUGAUUAUGACGGCCAGUUGAAUAUUUGAACUGGAGAUAGUCGUAGCUUUAAUAUGAAAUGUGAAGUUCUUCAAAUGGCAGCAGGAAAAAAAAAAACAUAUAUAGUUUUGUUUUACCUUUUAGUCUUCCUGGUAUAGAUUGUUACCCCUUUUCUAAUAGUUUUCUUUUCGUUUCAGUUCACUGGACAAACAGUUGGUAUUCUCGGUUUGGGAAGAAUUGGCAAAGCAGUUGCCAGGAGAGCUGAGGCUUUCAGCUGCCCCAUUGCCUACUCUUCCAGAACAGAAAAACCAGAAUUGAAAUACAAGUAUUAUCCGACUGUUGUGGAAUUGGCUUCCAAAUGUGAUGUUCUAGUUGUUGCGUGCGCACUUACUGAAGAGACCCGCUACAUUAUCAAUCGUGAAGUCAUUGAUGCUUUGGGGCCAAAGGGUGUUCUCAUUAACAUUGGGAGGGGUCAUCAUAUUGAUGAGCCUGAGUUGUUAUCUGCACUGCUAGAAGGCCGAUUAGGUGGAGCUGGCCUCGAUGUGUAUCAGAAUGAACCAGAAGUACCGGAGCAGCUGUUUGGGCUUGAAAAUGUGGUGCUCUUGCCUCACGCAGGAAGUGACACUACAGAAACUUGCAAUGCAAUGGCUGACCUUGUUAUUGGGAAUCUUGAGGCUCACUUCUUGAACAAACCAUUGUUAACACCUGUGGUUUAACAGUUUGAGCAUCUGUAUAUAAAGCCCAUGGGAGGUAUCAUUUUGUGUUUCCUUGUAUAAUUUUGUGUUAACCACUUUAUACUAUAUCGAUUUUCCUUUCUUCCGACUUCAUUUGCCUUUUUUUUUUUUUUUUUCCCUUUCUCAUGGCAUGUUGCAUUACAUUUGUGCAGUCAUCUUUUCGUAGCUUCGACUCCUAUGCCGGUAUUGCCCCGAUGGAUGUAGAGAAGUUUGUUCUAUUUUCUUUUUUGGUUGGCUUAAUACAAUAAAAAUCUGCAGCCAUCAUAUAGUGAUACCAACUAUUAAACUAUACCCGGUUAUUAAGAGAAUUAUAUAGCAGAAUAAACACUACGGUGUUAGUGUCAAACCAGUUAUCCCCUUUUGACUUAAAAAAACAUGGAUGGAUUUGCAACAAUUCAAAUUACCCAGAACUUUCUGUUAUUUUAUUUUUUAUUUUUAUUUUUUUAUAAAAUACUGACAAAAGAUUAGGUGAUAUCAGCUCCUCUGUAGCAGUCUGGUGAGUGACAGAGCACCCACUCUACCCUAAAGGAGACCGCUACAACCGGGAACCCACCGCCCGUCCCUUAUCAGAAAUUUUAUUUAAAAUAAUAAAAGAAAUUACGUGAAAAGAGGAAUGGGGGACUAGGCCAAACCAUUCCAAUUACAAACCAAAACAACAUACAAAAAGACAUUGUUUCUUCUACCCAUAAAAAACCAAGCAAUCUUCCCACUAUGAAAACUGAUAAUUAAGGAUACCCAAAUAAUCCGCUUGCAAGAAACCAUGAAGCUCAGUAGGAGGAUUAUCAUACCAAGUAAAUGAAGCAUUUGACAACCCCAAGUUUGCCAUCUUGUCAGCUACCAUAUUUCCUUCUCUAAAAAUAUGACUGUAACGGAAGUUCAUUUGACGAAUUAUAGAAAGACAGUUAUUCCAACGAACUCUUAAGUUCCACGGAGGAGAAAAAAACCUGGAAGAGAAGCAAGCUACCACACUAACAGAGUCACUUUCCAACCAUAAGUAGACCCACCCUUUAUCGUGAGCAAUUUCAAUUGCCAAGAUAACAUCAUAAAGUUCAGAAUAACAGGAAGUCCAUCCAAGCGAAUGACAAAAACUCCCUAAAAACCCACCUGAGGCAUCACGAAACACACCCCCACAAGCUGCUGGACCUGGAUUGCCUUUUGUUAAACCGUCUGUGUUAACUUUGAUCUAAGGAAAAAACCAAGGCUGCCAUAAGACAUGUUGAAUUCUAGGAGCCUUACUACCUUUAGGAGCAACUCCAAGAGAGGCCAAUAAACAGGCAUCAAAAACACCCUUAUAGUGACCAGGAGCAAAAAUGCCAAUUUGACGAAUCCAUGCCAUAAUAGAGCAACACAUUGUAUAGAAAUUUGGGGAUCGAUUAUCAAACCUUAGCUUAUUCCGAGCCUUCCAUAGAGCCAUGAAAGUAAACAUGCUAGCUGCUAGCCACAAAUUAAAAAGCUGCGAGGAGAAAGGCUUUCGAUAGUAGCUCUUCCAAAAAUCUAUCAGGGAGUUGAAAGAAGAUAAAGAAGUGCCAAAUUGAACAGCUAACCAUCUCCAGACCCGUUGGGAAAAAGGGCAUUGUAAAAAUAAAUGCAAUGAUGUCUCACCAGAACAAUAACAUAACUGACAGAUAGUCACAACAGGAAUUCCGCUAAUUUUCACUCUAUCAUCAGUUGGAAGCCGAUCAAAAAGAAUUCUCCAGACAAAAAAAGAGUAACGAGGUGGGAUGAAUGAUCGCCAUACAUUACAAGCCCAAUCUUUGACAGUGUUAUGGUGUUUCAGAAAUUCAUACCCAAUAGAAAAAGUCAACUCACCGGAGGUAGAGGGCUCCCAAAUAAACAUAUCUGACUCAUCAAUAAGAGGGAGUGCCAAAUCUGAAAUCUGCCUAGCCAAGAGCGGAAAAGUUUGGCAAAAGAAGGGAGGAAGCUGCCAUGAACGAUGAGAAAUAUAAAAUCUACGACAUGAAGAUUGCUGAAAUAAGACCAAUUUGAAAUACCCAAAGUCUCCAAAAUAGGAGCUUGAAGCCAUUUAUCCUUCCAAAAACACACAGUUUUACCAUCUCCAAUUAACCAUCGACAAUUUUGUCUAAAACCAGAACCAACCGACCGAAAACCUGGCCAAAUUGAGGAUUUGCGAUAGCCCAGCUUGCAGGCAGAUAGAAUAGGAUACCUGACUGAGAGAAUGAAGAGAUUACUAAAGUAUCACUAGUGAUUUUUACUGCCUUGUUCUCUUUAAACUUGGCCUCCGGAGUCCGGACACACCAAACACAAGCAAGAGAACUAGUACAUGAAACAUUUACAAUAAAUAGACCCUCAUUGUUGUUUUAGUCUAUCCAGCCUUUUUGUGAGAAUAUUGCCUGAAUGUGGAGAAUCAUGGAAUGUAUUUCAAAGAGUUUUGAGUUCCAACUCACCGGAAAAUCUCAAGACAAAGACAUGCACUGUCCAGUUCCAUUUCAGCAAUAUAUGUUUCAUUUUGAUAACAGCUAAGUCAUCUUGUUUGAGGUUUAUUAAUCCUCAUCUUUGAAUAACUUGCUGUUAGAAUGGUCGUUAUUCACACUGUGUUUGAUGAAAUUUUGUAAGAAUGAUCUACACAUUGUGUUUUAGACAUUGUACGGUUGAGACAUAGAAAUACAACCUGAAAGUGAGCCAAAUAAGGAGUCAUGCUCUUUAAUUUCAAAGCGGGAUCCCACUCUGGAAAGGGACCACACACACACACUAUCAUAGCAAAUAAAAACUAUACAUACAUUUUGUCUUGCCUUAACUUUUUUUUGGUUACAAAAUGAUGGCUGGGAGAGCUACCAUUCUGGAACCGGAGCAAUUUUAGGUGGCCUCUCCUCAAAUGAUGUUUUUCACAAAUUAGGGUUCGAACCAAAGACCUCCUAUUAUCAGAGAAUCUUUACAGCUUCUGCCUCAUUUGUAGCCUAACAUGCUUCCACUAGACCGACUAACCUCGUUGGGUGUCUUGUCUAAACUUUACUUACAUGUUUGGUUUGCUCAUUAUCUCCGUGGAAUGUAUCAAAAUGAUAAAGCAUAAGCAUGCCCAUCUGUACAUGCAUCUCCUCUUGAUGGCUAAAUAACAUUUUUCCUCCUGUGUGUCCUUCUUAUAGUUGUGCAAGAUAGAGUAGUAAAGUCUACAAGAUUCCAUAUAAGUAAAUAUAGGAUAAAGUAUACUUGUUAAAUUUAAAAUAUUCGAUAUAUAGAUUAUGAGUACAUGAUGCAUAUUGAGUUUGUGUUUUGAGAUGAAAAUGGGAAUCCGUUAAUAGUUGCUAUGAGCGUAUUGAAGAUACUUCGGUGUCUAUGGGUGAAACUACUAGCUUUAAAGAGUCAUUACACACAACGUGGUUAUAACAAUUCUCUCAUGCAGUGGUGGAAGGUGACUCAAAAAGCUUCUUAUAUACAAUCUGAAUGGAAAAACUAUGGCACCCUAAUGCAUUCAAUCUUUAAUCCAAGAUAUCUAGUGGCUAGCAUCUCAUUUUCAAGUUGUGUACUUUCGACAUAUUCACCAUGAAGCUAACUUUGUGACAGACCGUCUAGUCUCCGUGAGAAUUGCAUCGUCGACUCUUGUAGUUUAGUUUUACUGCUUACCUUUUUUUACUGCUUAAAUUUUUAUUGUUCUGAAAGAUUCCUCUGUUCUUAUAUAAUCAAUAAUUCAGCCGAGCUUUAAUCCCUUUUAUCCUACACGGCCGACGGCGACAUUUGCAUUUGUCGUUUCUCGCUGAUCACCACAAACACACCUACCAUUUUUAGUCAGAGUCUCUCUGCCACUUCACAAUAAACUCCACCUUCACAAAUCACAGCCUCUCCAAACCUUUGGGAGUCGCUGCAAUCCAAAAGCAAUCCCAACCCAGAUUCCAAAACCACCCCUAACAAUGGAGUCCAUAGGUGUCCUCCUACCAAUCCCAAUGUCCCCUUACUUGGAACAAGAGCUCGAGAAGCGCUUCAACCUCUUGAAGCUUUGGACCGCUCCCCACAAGACCCAGUUCAUCAAGGACCACGCCGCCUCCAUCCGCGCCAUCGUCGGCAACGCCUCCGCCGGCGCCGACGCCGAGUUGAUCGACUCUCUGCCCAAGUUGGAGAUCGUCGCCAGUUACAGCGUUGGGAUUGACAAGGUCGACUUGAAGUACUGCAAGGAAAAGGGUGUGAGGGUCACUAACACCCCCGACGUGUUGACCGAUGACGUGGCCGACAUUGCUAUUGGGUUGACUCUGGCGGUGAUGCGCCGGCUUUGCGAGAGUGACCGGUAUGUCAGGAGUGGGCUGUGGAAGAAGGGUGACUACAAGUUGACCACAAAGGUUUCAUUUUUCUCUUUUCUUGAUCACUGUUUUAUUGGUUGUUGUUGGUUAUGAGUUCAAUUGGGUUGUUUGCUUUGCUUGUUUGGUUAGUGUACUUCUGUAGUAUUAUCGCUUUGCUGUUUAGUUGUUGGGUCUAUUGGAAUACCAAGAUAAUGAUUCAGGUGAAAAGUUUACCUAUUGUUGUCUCAAAUCAGUACUCAGUGGCAAGUUUGCUCAGUGAAUAUGUCUCCGUUGCUGUUCAGAUGAGAGGAUUGUGCGCUCUUUUCUGUAGUGUAUGAGGAAGAGAAUGCAAAAUCAUAUCAGGGUAGUUGUUUUUUUUUUUUUUUUUUUUUCUGUUCUCUGUGCAAAGGUAGAUCGAUAUUUUUUGAACAGUGCAUUUCUCUAGUAAUUGUGCUCUUCUGUGUGUUGCUACUGUUAUGGAGCUUUAGUGCUGAAUAGUUUGUGUAAAUGUUUCCGCACUUCUGCCUUUCAUGGAGAAAAAUGUUGCACAUUCGGAAUCUAGGACCUUUGGAACUUUUCUUUUAGCUGCUUUUGUGCUAAAUAAGAUGGAAAUGGAACCAUAAGAUGGAAAGCUUUAAGAUUAAAAUUUCAGGACGCCCAAGGUGUUAUUUGUAUAUUUUAAGUGUAAUAUAUUUCUGACAGAUAUUAGUAUGAUAUCUUGAUGGUUUCCGAUUACUAGCCUUUGAUUAUGCCUGCCAGUUGAAUAUUUGCUAUAGGAACUGACUUAAUUCGACAUAGUUGUAGCUUUAAUAUGAAAUGUCAAGUUCAUCAUUUGACAUGCAUUUUUUUUCUUUCUUUUUCUAAACCCUUCUGUAUUCCUGGUAUAGAUUGUGGAGGCCCUUUUGUAAUAGUUCUUCUUUUAUUUCAGUUCACCGGAAAAACAGUCGGUAUCAUCGGUUUGGGAAGAAUUGGCAAAGCUAUUGCCAAGAGAGCUGAGGCUUUUAGCUGCCCCAUUGCCUACUUUACAAGAACAGAAAAACCAGAUUUAAAGUACAAGUAUUAUCCUACUGUUGUGGAAUUGGCAUCCCACUGUGAUGUUCUAGUUGUUGCAUGCCCACUUACUGAAGAAACCCACCAUGUUAUCAAUCGUGAAGUCAUUGAUGCUUUGGGGCCAAAGGGUGUUCUCAUUAACAUUGGGAGGGGUCCUCAUGUUGAUGAACCUGAGUUGGUAUCUGCACUGCUAGAAGGCCGAUUAGGUGGAGCUGGCCUCGAUGUGUAUCAGAAUGAACCGAAUGUACCGGAGCAGCUGUUUGGACUUGAAAAUGUGGUGCUCUUGCCUCAUGUAGGAAGUGCCACUACAGAAACUCGC
rnacentral:lncRNA from 1 species